AUUGGUUUAAUCUCUGGUAUAUCAAAUGAGAGGGAGUAUAUUCGUGCUGGCAAAGUCAUCAAGAUGGUUGUGCUUGAACUUACAGACAAUAGUGGUAAAUGUGAAUGCGCGUUGUUUGGUGAUCAUGUUGAUGAGUUGCAAAGAUUAAUUGGUAAUUGUCCUUCCGGUCUCCACGUUGUUGCACUACAGUUUGCCAAAGUUAAAAUAUUUAGAGGGAAAGUUUCCAUUCAAGAUGUUAUGAAUACCACAAGGAUUUUUCUUGACCCUG